rnacentral:rRNA from 1 species
AUUGAACGCUGGCGGCAUGCCUUACACAUGCAAGUCGAACGGUAACGGGCCUUCGGGUGCCGACGAGUGGCGCACGGGUGCGUAAUACAUCGGAACGUGCCCGAUCGUGGGGGAUAACGAGGCGAAAGCUUUGCUAAUACCGCAUACGAUCUACGGAUGAAAGCAGGGGACCGCAAGGCCUUGCGCGGACGGAGCGGCCGAUGGCAGAUUAGGUAGUUGGUGGGAUAAAAGCUUACCAAGCCGACGAUCUGUAGCUGGUCUGAGAGGAUGAUCAGCCACACUGGGACUGAGACACGGCCCAGACUCCUACGGGAGGCAGCAGUGGGGAAUUUUGGACAAUGGGCGCAAGCCUGAUCCAGCCAUGCCGCGUGCAGGAUGAAGGCCUUCGGGUUGUAAACUGCUUUUGUGCGGAACGAAAAGCCUUCCUUUAAUACAGGAGGGUCAUGACGGUACCGUAAGAAUAAGCACCGGCUAACUACGUG